GACGAACGCUGGCGGCGUGCUUAACACAUGCAAGUCGAACGGUAAGGCCCUGCUUUUGUGGGGUGCUCGAGUGGCGAACGGGUGAGUAACACGUGAGUAACCUGCCCUUGACUUUGGGAUAACUUCAGGAAACUGGGGCUAAUACCGGAUAGGAGCUCCUGCUGCAUGGUGGGGGUUGGAAAGUUUCGGCGGUUGGGGAUGGACUCGCGGCUUAUCAGCUUGUUGGUGGGGUAGUGGCUUACCAAGGCUUUGACGGGUAGCCGGCCUGAGAGGGUGACCGGCCACAUUGGGACUGAGAUACGGCCCAGACUCCUACGGGAGGCAACAGUGGGGAAUAUUGCACAAUGGGCGGAAGCCUGAUGCAGCAACGCCGCGUGCGGGAUGACGGCCUUCGGGUUGUAAACCGCUUUCGCCUGUGACGAAGCGUGAGUGACGGUAAUGGGUAAAGAAGCACCGGCUAACUACGU
rnacentral:rRNA from 1 species